rnacentral:misc_RNA from 1 species
GAAGCUGUCCAUACUCGAAACACCGCGCUGAUUUCCGGAAGCGCUGCUCCAACUGGAUGUCACGCUGUAGCUGGUCGAGAAAGAACUAUGAUUGUGGUGUGAUGAUUCCGUCUGACUUGAAUAGUCGGCUACGGUGCGCGCCCAGCCAGUGUGCAUAUCCGUUGAGUCCGAACGAUCGAAAUCAAAGUUCGUUGGAGCAGGCAUCUGAGCCGAUCCAUGCGCGCCGG